rnacentral:lncRNA from 1 species
GGGCUAUCACCCAGAGAACCAUAUUAAACCAGAUUGGCCUGGGGUCUCUGCCAGGGGAAAGGAUGAUGCGUCAUGCCUAGGAAUGGUUAAGGUGGAGUUCUGAGUUUUCAAAAUUAGGGCUAGAUAAAUCCCACCACCUAUCUGUCCUGAUUAUUAUCCAGAGGAGAGGGAAAAAUCCAAUAGAUAAAGGUUUCAUGAAAACAACAAUGAGAUACCACUAUACACCUGUUAGAAUGACUAAAAUCCAGAACACUGACAACACCAAAUGCUGCUGAAGAUAUGGAGCAACAUGAACUCCUACUCACUUUUGCGUCAUGGAAUUUGUUCAUCAGAACGAAAUGUGUGAAAUACACCCAAAGACUCUUUGCCAGUCCAAUAUGCAAAGAAACCAACAAUGAGCUUAAAAACUGUUUUGUUUUGUUGGGUCAAUUGACUGAAAAAAGAUGGGGACAAUUCGUCAUUCAUCAAUCGGUGCCAGAAAAAAAAAUCAGUGUUAUUUUUAGAGGUAGUGAUAUACAAACAGGAAAGCAGACAAGAGGAGACCCACCAUGGACCGCCUGUGGAGUUUUGAUCAAGUCGCUCAGCCUUUUUGGGCCUCAAGGGCACACAGUUGGUGGCGGAGCCGAGCUGAUCAUCUGUGACUCUCAUCUCACAGUUUGUGUUCUGAAUCCACUAUCCUCCAUGGAGACAGACACCAUCAAGGACAAGCACCUGGACUAUCUCCUCCUGCAAAGAGAUAUGGACUGGUGGGAAAGCUGCUGACCAGCAAGGUCAUGAGCUCCCUCCUCUCUGCAAGUGUCUCAAGGCCAAAGACAGGCUGGUGGGAAAGCUCCGACCAGCAAGGCCAUAUGCUCCCCCUCCCCUACCUAAAACCCCAAAUAAAAACCCGUCCUUUUAGCUUUUCGGGGAGUUUGGGAUUUCAGCGUUAGCUGCCCUCUCUCCUUGCUCAGCGCUGUGCAAAAAUAAAAUUCCUGCUUUCUUCCACCACCCCUGGUGUCAGAGAUUGGCUUGCUGUGCAACGGGUGAGCGAACUCACUUCGGGUUCGGUAACAGUUUCUCUAACCUUCCUCCGUGGUGGCGCCAGCCAGGACAGGUGCUUUUGUACCUCAAGGAACUAGUUACUGUCUUUCUGGAGGUUUCUUAGUAAAAUGCCAUGGAAAAGGGAAGAAGCCAAGGCUGGCAGGAGGGAUGUGGG